rnacentral:lncRNA from 1 species
ACUAUGUCUCUUUAGCCAGAGAUGUUAAACUAGUUAGGCUCUGAUAUCUAGCCAAUGAGGUGAGAGGCUCCCUCAUUUAUAUAUUAGGUCUUUAGCCGUUCCGCAACCAAUGUGAUACUAUUCAAUAAUAAUAAACCACUUCAUCCAUGGAGCUUAUGUAAAAAGGCCAAGUUGAUGCCCAUCAGUAUAUAUUUAUAUACCUCCUGAACGUCCUUGUGAGGCUUUGACGUGCCAAAAACAAUUCAGUACCUCCACACAGAUGCUUCAGGAAAGGAACAGAAAAUUCAGACUUCUGGAUUUCCGAAAUAUCCAGCAAAUGUGCCAUGAACAUUUAUUUUCGAACGGUUAUCAGAAGGGGCUUUCCUUCAUUCACUCUUCUGUUCUGCAUCAAUGGAAAUAAACCCACUAGAUAAUAUCGUAUUACCUUUUGGCAUCUUAGGCACCCCUUUAUCAAAUGCUAAACAGUGUAUUCCAAUAACUUUUCUAGAACCUCUAGUGAUGAAGCAACAAAGGUUGCUUGUCUUUGACUUCAGCACAACUCUCUAUCAAGGCAUGCGCUAUAACCAAGAUGCUUCUACUCCUCUCUGUGCACCUGAGCAUAAUAAAUAAGUAUUGUCUCACCAAUAUGAAAAAGAAAUUACGAUUUGUAAUUUAGAAAUGACAUCAGUGGAUUGUGAGAAACAAUUUGAUGUUGUUUUAUUGUAAAAAUUUUUAUAAAUACAUGAUUAGAAAAGGCAAGUGAUCAAACAUCCGCAUUGAAGACUAUAUUGAUGUCAUAGACAAGUCAAAAACCAACGUAUUAGAGGUACAUCGGACCAGAAAUCUUGUCCCUCCCGCAUCAAGACCGAAUGACUGAAAGGGGAAACAAAACUUGACCGGCAGAAGAAUCAUGCCAUAACUAGAUAGUCCACGCUGCCCGUUAUUCAAACCAAUUAACAGAAGCAAACUGUCAUGUGUUAUUACUUAUUUGUUCUACGCUUCUAUAAUAGUCACACCCUAAGACCCUCUAUAUUUGCUGUUCUUCGUUCCAGAUGCCAAACACCACCACAACAGCUUGUAUAACUUUAUCUUUACCUAUUAUAAAAGUUUAAGAUGUUUUUGCCAAGAAUUUUCGUACGUUGUCCCAAUAUAAUGCGAUGCGCAGUCUGAUUCCCUCCCCGUGCGGUUUUUUGCGAUUUUUCCGCCCUAUUUUCCAGUCCGAUUCCCUCCCAUGCACGUUUUUUGCGAUUUUCCUAACAAAAAACUAAAAGAAUCGGACUCUAAUCUAACCAAAUAAAGUCAGAAGAGAGAUCCACAAGAGAACUCAAAUACACCAUAAAAAAAAAUCCUCGAGCAGAUCAACCGAUUGCUCCCAUCCCCUUUGCCCAAAAUCACAAAAUCACUCAAUUGCAAUCCCAAAUCAAAAUCAAGAAUCCCCCACAAAAUCAACAUCCCAAAUCAAAAAAAAUCCAAACCCAAACCCUAGCCGCCUCUCGCAGCCGCCCUCCUCGUGGUCGGCGCCGUUGUCGUCGUCGUCUUCCGCCGUCGUCGUCGUCCACCGCCGUCGUCGCCGUCGUCGUCGUCAUCACCGUUGUCGUCGUCCGCCGCCGCCAUCGUCGUUGCCGUUGUCCGCAUCGCUGCCUUCCGCUGCGACCGGCUCACUAGCCCGCCACGGCUCCCGAGCCCACCGCCGCUCCCGGCCGCGUCAUCACACCGGGGAUGGGGCCGACGCCGCCACCGCCGUCAGAUCCGCCGCGGGAGGGAGGCGAGAGGGGUCGGACGGAGCCGCCGCCACCGGAUCCGUCCUCGCCCGCCACCACCACGACCGGAUCCACCCGCGGUCGCCGUCGCCGAACCCAUCGCGCGAGAGGCGAGAGAGGGCGAGGUCCGAUUCCCUCCCGUGCACUUUUUUUGCGAUUUUCCUAACAAAAAACUAAAAUAAUCGGACUCUAAUCCAACCAAAUAAAGUCAGAAGAGAGAUCCACAAGAGACUCAGAUACACCAUAAAAAAAUCCCCAAGCAGAUCAACCGAUUGCUCCCAACCCCUUUGCCCAAAAUCACAAAAUCACUCAAUUGCAAUCCCAAAUCAAAAUCAAGAAUCCCCCACAAAAUCAACAUCCCAAAUCAAAAAAAAAUCCAAACCCUAACCCUAGCCGCCUCCUGCAGCCGCCCUUCUCGUGGUCAGCGCCGUCAUUGUCGUCGUCACCGUUGUCGUCGUCCGCCGCCGCCAUCGUCGUUGCCGUUGUCCGCAUCGUUGCCUUCCGCCGCGACCGGCUCCCGAGCCCGCCGCGGCUCCCGAGCCCACCGCCGCUCCCGGCCGCGUCAUCACACCGAGGAUGGGGCCGACGCCGCCACCGCCAUCAGAUCUGCCACGGGAGGGAGGCGAGAGGGGUCGUACGGAGCCGCCGCCGCCGGAUCCGUCCUCGCCCGCCACCACCGCGAUCGGAUCCACCCACGGUCGCCGUCGCUGGACCCAUCGCACGAGAGGCGCGAGAGGGCGAGGUCCGAUUCCCUCCCGUGCACUUUUUUUUGCGAUUUUCCUAACAAAAAACUAAAAGAAUCGGACUCUAAUCCAACCAAAUAAAGUCAGAAGAGAGAUCCACAAGAGAACUCAGAUACACCAUAAAAAAAAUCCCCGAGCAGAUCAACCGAUUGCUCCCAACCCCUUUCCCCAAAAUCACAAAAUCACUCAAUUGCAAUCCCAAAUCAAAAUCAAGAAUCCCCCACAAAAUCAACAUCCCAAAUAAAAAAAAAUCCAAACCCUAACCCUAGCCGCCUCCCGCAGCCGCCUCCUCAUGGUCGG